ensembl:snRNA U6 U6 spliceosomal RNA
GUGCUCACUUUGGCAUCCCAUAUACUAAAACCGGAAUGAUGCAGAGAAGAUUAGCAUGGCCUUGCACAAGGAUGACACGCAAAUUCGUACUUUAGAUCUUU